CCAAAGUAGUCUUAAAGACUUCAACAUAUCCGAACAAGCGGAAUGUUGCGUAUGGUACUAUUCGGAGUACUGAUCCAAGAACUAAGGCUGGUGGUAUUGAGUUAGGUGCUGAAUUUGCUCUUGUGCGCAUAGACGAACCUAUUCUUGAUAAUGAGGAGUUGGUAAGGGAUGUUUCUGAUUGCAAGACAAUUGGCGAGGCUUUCACUUCAGGAUACUUAAUUGCCUGGCCUUCAGCUUUUAUUCGAGAGAAGGAUGGUUGAUUUGCAGCUGAAUUCUUGGAUCAAGAAGCAAAUAAAAUCUGAAGAUUUUAGCUACAAUAGUUGUAGUUUACAUUGAUAGAUUUAAAAGUGUAAUAUCAUCCAGAAGAUCUUUUUCUUUUAUCGAAUUGAUGCAAAUGCGACAGUGUAAUAUUCCCCAUAGUUGUGUUUUCUAUCCUCAAAAUUAUAUGACUGAUAUCUUUAUUGUAAUGCAUAUGUAUCAUACACUCUUCUAUAUUCGUAAUAAAUAUCUUCGUACGAA